CCUACGGGAGGCAGCAGUGGGGAAUCUUGCGCAAUGGGCGAAAGCCUGACGCAGCCAUGCCGCGUGAAUGAUGAAGGUCUUAGGAUUGUAAAAUUCUUUCACCGGGGACGAUAAUGACGGUACCCGGAGAAGAAGCCCCGGCUAACUUCGUGCCAGCAGCCGCGGUAAUACGAAGGGGGGCUAGCGUUGCUCGGAAUUACUGGGCGUAAAGGGAGCGUAGGCGGAUAGUUUAGUCAGAGGUGAAAGCCCAGGGCUCAACCUUGGAAUUGCCUUUGAUACUGGCUAUCUUGAGUAUGGGAGAGGUUAGCGGAACUCCGAGUGUAGAGGUGAAAUUCGUAGAUAUUCGGAAGAACACCAGUGGCGAAGGCGGCUAACUGGCCCAUUACUGACGCUGAGGCUCGAAAGCGUGGGGAGCAAACAGGAUUAGAUACCCUGGUAGUCCACGCCGUAAACGAUGAGUGCUAGUUGUCGGCAUGCAUGCAUGUCGGUGACGCGAGCUACGACAUUAAGACACCUCCGCCGUCGGGGAGGUACGGUCGGCGAAGAAGUUAAACUAACUAAAGUAGUUAAGUUAGUACGGUUCGUUGAGACGUUGCCGACGGACGACGACGAGGGGAGGAGG
rnacentral:rRNA from 1 species